rnacentral:lncRNA from 1 species
AUUUAACCUUCCAUUUCCCGGCUCCAUGCCUUUAGAUAAGAUGUCCCUCAAUACUUGGAAAGUUCUUCCUCUUCUCCUCUGCUUCUGGAGAAUGCCUAGUUUCUUUCAAGAUUUAUCUGAGAUAACUUGUGUAAGUCAACAAGCCCAUAUUACAACAAUGGAAGGGGAAAAAAAAAACUUGUCAAGAAUUAUCAGCAAGCUAUAAGCAGUAUAAAUGGAAGAGAAGACUUGAGCUCAAAUCCAGUCUGACACUAGCUGUGUGACACAGAGUGAAACACUUAACUCUAUUUGCGUGAGUUACUGCAUAUGUAAAAUGUGCUGAAGGAAAUGGCAAACCACUCUAGUACCCUACCAAGAAAACCCCAAAAGGGGUCACAGAGUCCAACAUGACAACAACCAUGACAAAUUCUUCCCAGAGAUACCUAUUUCUUCUCUGCUGCCCUCUUCUUGUUUGAGAAAGAAAAACUAAAAUAAAAAAAAGGCUAUUAUCA